CUGGGCAAGUGAAAGGACCUCUCGGAGUCUCCGUGCCCUCAUCUGUAAAAUGAAGCCAACAAGAGCAAUUACCACGUGGGAUUGUCCUGAGAAGUAAAGGAGGAAGAAGGUCAAAAGCAAGAGCCCAGAGCCAUGGCCUGCCUCUCUGGUGCAGGUGAAGUUUAAUAAUAAAGGAAUCUCAUAAAAUAGGGUUUCCCUCAUGGCUCAGCCAUAAGGAAUCCGACUGCAAUGCAAGAGACACAGGAGAUGCCAGUUUGGUUCCUGGGUCAGGAAGAUCCCCUGGAGGAGGGCAUGGCAACCCACUCCAGUAUUCUUGCCUGGAGAAUCCCAUGGACAGAGGAGCCUGGCAGGCUACAGUCCACAGGGUUGCAAAGAGUUAGACAGGACUGAAGCGACUGAGCACGCAUGCAU
ensembl:lncRNA